rnacentral:rRNA from 1 species
UACGUAGGGGGCAAGCGUUGUCCGGAUUUAUUGGGCGUAAAGAGCGUGUAGGCGGCCAUGCAGGUCAGCUGUGAAAACUCGAGGCUCAACCUCGAGACGUCGGUUGAAACCGUAUGGCUAGAGUCCGGAAGAGGAGAGUGGAAUUCCCGGUGUAGCGGUGAAAUGCGCAGAUAUCAGGAAGAACACCUAUGGCGAAGGCAGCUCUCUGGGACGGUACUGACGCUGAGACGCGAAAGCGUGGGGAGCGAACAGG